GACGAACCGUGCGAACGUUGUUCGGAAUCACUGGGCUUAAAGGGCGCGUAGGCGGCUCGCAAGGUCGGGGGUGAAAUCCCGCAGCUCAACUGCGGAAGUGCCUUCGAUACCGGCGGGCUCGAGGAAGGUAGGGGUGCGCGGAACUUCUGGUGGAGCGGUGAAAUGCGUUGAUAUCAGAAGGAACGCCGGCGGCGAAAGCGGCGCACUGGACCUUUUCUGACGCUGAGGCGCGAAAGCCAGGGGAGCAAACGGGG
rnacentral:rRNA from 1 species